rnacentral:lncRNA from 1 species
UUAAACCUAUCAGAAAGAAAAGAGUAAAGAAUUUGCUCGAUUCAUACAUACACAAAAGGUUUAUGCUCAAAGGCCACAUCACACAUAAGACUGGGAUAUUCUGCUGGCUGGACAAUACAAAAAAACAGAAUGGAGUGCUCAUGACUUUUUUAAAUGGGGGCAGGAGGAUGGAAGAGGAAUAAACUGAAGUGCUCAAGAAUUUACUUGUUGCAUUAGUGACACUAUCCCCUUCCCUUACUGGGUUAACCCUGGGAAAUUUCUGACGUUUCCACUGCUUUUGGUUAGUGGCUUUUUAAAUCCUGGAGAAACCAAUUAUAGGACUCUGUGUGUGGAGUAGGUGCAAGAGGGAUUGAGGGGUAUCAGGAUACUUCAUUGUCCCUCUCCUCUUCCUCCCUCCAGAACAGAGGUGAGCAUUUCCACAGGUGCCCCAAUCCAGGCACCUGGGAUUUCUUUUUCAGCAGUUUUCUCUUCAUAGGAAGUUUCAUCUCCAUAGUGAGUUUCCUCCAGGGGAGGUGCAUUUGCGUUCACAUUCCUGAUUUCCCAAAUGUGCUUCGUAACCUCCUUCCUUCACUUCGAGGAUCUGUGUUAAAGUUUGGUGUCCAAAGAGUUUUCCUGGAGGUGAAGUCUUGGGCCACUGUUUGUGGAAUUUGAACAAGUUUCCUGGGAGAUUGUUUACCUACCAGCAUCUAGAAUGGAACCCAAGUCCAGAGCCAUUUUCAAAUGUCAUCCCUUUCUAGUUAUGGCAAAUAAGAAACCAAGAAACACAACAGGAUUUUGAACUGAAUCAAAGAGUUUUACAAGACUCAAGAUGUUGGCUGGUAGAAAUCCAAGUCAAAAAUGGCGAGUCACAAUAUCUUUCCUCUAGGCAAGAAAAAAAAAGAAGAUAAGGGAAAGACAAAGGAAGGAAAUGGAAGGAAAGGACAAAGAAGGAAAGUCUACUCUGAAUCUUGACAUGUCAGCUUGAUUCUAGAAGUGCGUUUACCUGGAGG